CCGAGCUUUCCACCUGUUCGGCAUAGUUUCGAGCUGCAUCUGAAGAAAUGUCGCUUCCCGCGGCAUGUCAACACGAGAACACGAGGAUCUGUUGUUCUUCCAUGAAAUUACCCACGGCAGCUGAUCCUGGCAUUCUUGCAGGACUCGAAGCUAGGAAGAGUCAGCGCUACCGUCCACGGAGACCUGGAGCGAGGAGAGGUCCGGGAGGCAUCGCCCCACUCCUGAACUGGCUUCACGGAUUCGGACUCGAAGCGCCGAAGGCCACCCUGAAAAGAUCUCCCCUUUAGAUGGCCACUCUCGAGACUGGUCGCCCCUCCCCGAUGUCGGAAACAGCCUGGCAAGCCCGAGCGGUCGCGCUUCCAGUGCAGCUAUUGCGAGUACAAGAGCGAGUACAAGUGCUACGUGGUGGCACACGAACGCAUUCACACGGGGGAGCGUCCAUACAAGUGCCCGCUGUGUAGCAAGGCCUUCACCUUCAAGCACCACGUGACUACACACCUGCGCUGCCACACCGGAGAGAAACCCUUCCGCUGCAGCAUGUGCCCGCGCUCCUUUGCGCAGAAGAGCAACCUGAACCAGCACCUGCUCAUUCAUCGGAACAACGUGCGCUGAGGGCGGUGGGUGAGACGCUUGAAUUGGGACGUCAUUUGGAAAUCCGUUCUAAUCGGAACUCUUUGACGCUUCAGACUUCACUUUUUAAGGAGUUGUUUUGUGUACUGUGUACUUCUGUUACAAAAGGCUUACCACAAAGUAUCACUGUGGCGGAUACCUGCAGCAAAGGUCGAACGUUGUGCCGUCAACGACAGAAUUGUGUAGUUCUCAAAAUAUAAGUUUAAAGGGGCACUAAAAUUGGAUCUUGAGAUCCAGUUUUAGCUGGACUUAAACUGAAACGAAGUAUAGGAGAGAGCGUGAUGCCAGCCAUGUAGCUUCCACAAGCAAUCCUCUCUUGGAGGAGUGUCCCCUUCUAAUACUUCCGAUCUCCUCACUUGCGCUGACCGUGCAAGAAGUAGCGAAAGUUUGAAAUGCUGCGGGAAAGCUAUCCCCCAGUACAAAUAAAGUGAUGCAUUCCACAU
rnacentral:misc_RNA from 1 species